AAUAUGAUUUGGGGUAUUGUUUUAGAUUGAUUGUCAUUUUGUGUGGUUUUAUGUGGUUUUUUUAGCUGUGGCAGUAGAGGAGCAUCCAUAUAAAUAGCAGAAGUUUGAUGCAGAGUUUAAGUGCAACGGGGUUCUCUUAAUGUGGUGAAGAAGACUUGUUGAAAAGGACAAGCCGGGCUGUGAUAGGAAUUUGGCUCUCUAUGGGAAUACGGAGGGAAAAACAAACAAGAGGAAUGAACGAAGAGAUGGAGAGGAUGGAGUUCGGGCAGUUGAAUUUUUGUGCAGCGUAGGUGAGAUGAGAACAACUGGCUAUGAAUCAGAUAAAGCUGGUGCUAUGUUGCUGACGAGGAUAUAUGCUGAAUACCUAUAUGGCAACAACCAAAUUAAGAGAAGAAUACAAAAAGAAACAAGUUGGAUGUCACAGUAGCCAAUCUGCCACUGGAUGGUGAAUGGCAGUUCAGAGAAGAAGAGACUGGCUUAAACUUAAACAAGGUUUCUACUUAUAAUCUUAUGGUUGUUUUCCUUUUUUAUGCGUAUAACAUUUUUUCCCCACCUAUUCUUGAGGUACUUUUUGGCCUUGGUUGCUUAGGAGAAUAAGUAUAGAGCAUAUGCGAUGAUGAAUAAAUAUCUAGUAUCUAAUCAUUUGUUUUUCUUUUGGAUUAGAUAGUUGAAUUUUUCUAAUAUAUAUCUAUAUGCCAUGGUCCAUGUUUGGAUGAGAAAUGUGGGGUUUCACUUUCCAUGCUACUUAAAUUCCACACAGAUUAGGUAUAAGC
rnacentral:lncRNA from 1 species